UUGGAGUAAAACACGGUGGAAGCUGAAUUAGUGAGGAUGACUCCUGCUCCUGUCAUCUCUAAGCUCCUCACACAUCUUUACCUGCACAUGAGGAAAAUCACUCCUGUAGAAUGCAGAUGUUCAGAGGGAGAUGAUGCCACAUCUGGUCCAGCUGAUGGAAGGUCUUGAAGUUCUCUGACUGGCCUCGACUGAAGAUGGUCUUCUCACUGGAUUUAAGGUUCAGAUGCUCAGUAACAAACUCCACCAAUGUGCCAACAGGGAAGCUUUAGGUUUAUUAAAUGUUGCUAUGAAGGUUUCGCUGUUUUUCUUUGUGAAUGCAAUGUGCUCCAACUGAAACUUGAAUUAGAACUUAGAAGUAAAUCCUUCCAUCUGAAAGGAUUUAGUUGCAUUAAUAACCUCAUAACAUUCUAAUUUUUAUUCCAGUCUUGGUUGGAAAUAGAAUCUCUGUAUUGAUUCAGGUAAAAACUGAACUUCACAGCAUGUUGAAGCAAAACAACCAGAUGAAAACUGUGAUGGUGUUGGAUUGUCAGACCGUAAUGUUGCAGCUCAAAGCAGCUUUUCUAGCUCAGUUCAUUCUGACAUUCAGCUAUGAAUCAACACAGCAGAUGGUGAUCCAUGCUGUGGAAGUCUCACAUCUCCUGAUUUAAUGGAGCUGCUUUGCACUUUUUACACUGUUUAUUCACCAACACUUUAUUUAAUAAAAGUCCCAUCUAGUUUUUAUGAGGAAUGUGAUGUUUUAAUUUCUCUGUGAAUAACUGCAGUCUAAUGCAACAGCUGGAGUUGUAACAUCUGUCCUGAUAUUGAUCAUGAAGUAUUGAUCAGAAUACUUAUGGUUAGCAGUCAUCCCUGAAGUUUUACAUUAAAAUCUUUACUUGUGUUGUGAACUUUGGUAAGAAGCAGAAACUUUUGCGUUGCCAUGGAUACAUGAGUGUUAAAUUCUGUCCAUGUUUCCAUUUUGGGAAAUUCAGUCCAGUUCCAGAAUGUGGAGGAAUUUAGUCUCACAAUCACAGACAACAAAUAUUAUCUGAAAGUCGGGUUAUUGUUGUUUAUCAGCACAAUACAAAAAGAUUAAUGUUAGAAAUAUUCCAGUUAAGACUCUAGAAUAUCAUGAUUUAUGUAAAUUUACCUCAAUAAUAUGAAUGUUCAGGUUAAGAUUGUGCAGUGAUAUUUAUUAUGCAAGUUUAGCUGAUUAAAGUUUAUGACUCUGCACUAAAAUAUUAUUUAAAUUGACAUCAUUAUUAUAAUAUUUAGGGUCAGACCCUACAGUAUUGAGAUUAAGAAAUCAAAUAUUCUAUAAAAUGUAAAUACACUGAACUCAUUUGGAUAUAUUUAAGUGAGACUCUACAAUAUUAUUUGACACAAAUCUAUCUAAAUCAAAAUUUUAAUAAUUUUCACGCCAAACAUUUACUGGACUGAUUUAAAUAUUAAAAUCACUCCUUUCUAAUCCUCUGCUGUACGUUCAAACCUGAGGCCUUAAAUAGAAACACACAAGUAUCUGUUUGAAGGAACUUCUGCAGAGUCCUGGUUCCAGAACAUGAUGAUAGAAUUAUAGACAAACUUUAACAAAAGCUGCCUGAGAGUUUACAGGUUUUUAUGUUGGAUUUCUUCAGUAAUUUAAUGAGCGUUAUCAGCAAUAAUCAAGUGUUCAUUUGAUGAACUUCAUUUCCUAAAACAUCCAGAAUUGGAGCUCAUAUCUUUGGCAGCUGUAAAGUUUCUGCUCCUUCAAAGUUCACAACACAAUGAAUGAAUUCCUAAAACACUCUCAAUGCUGGAGAGCGUUUGUGAUGCUGAAGCAGUGACCAGUUUUUCUGUUUCUUCUCUGGAGAUGCACAAUGAGGGACGUCUGCAGCGACUGAGAAAGAGUCUCACCACAUCCUGACAUGAGGAAAAAGACUUUAUUGAAGACUACAAUGAGAAAAACUAUCAGACAGCAGACGGCUGCAUUCAAGAGAGGAAGACCAUCAAACAUCCACGUCAGCUGAUGGAGGUCCAAGAGUCUCACCAAACAACCAACCUACAGAGUGAAGACCUCAAAUCUAAUUGGACGGCCUCCUAUUCAGCCACGUGUGAACAAAUGCCUCUAAGCUGAUUUGUUUUCUAAAAUAAAUCUAGUUUGAGUCCUAAUCUAUGCCUGUGUGUUUGCUUCUUUACACCGCUGUUAACAGUUUAGGCUGUUAGAUUGUUCCAGAUAAGACAAGUACAAGAUUCUUCAGAGCCGUUCUACCACGAGCCUGACAGGAAGAACUCCAACAGCUACUGAAUGUUCCUGUGGUUCCCUCAAGGCUACAGGAGGAGCCCUACGAGGACGAGCCGGUCCACCUGAUGGCUGGCCAGUCGCUGCGGUUCAAAAGCCAACACCGACUACGUGGACUUCUACUGGACCACAUGGAGGCCUUCAAACCGGACCAACAAGUUCAGCGACUCCCCGACUCGUGGGUCUGAGGAUGCUGCCGAGCCUCGGCCCAGCCGGCCUCCUGUCUGUGGGUGUUUGAGUGCUGAGAGGUUUGUGGAUGCAUGUGAACGUGUCUGUGUUGAAACAGCAGCUUUGGACUCAGUAACGCUGGGAAAAACCAAGAGCUCCUUUAUUUGUGACUUCCACUAAAAAACCGAUGAAAAUAUGUUUGCCAGGGUUCUGACUGAUAACAGAUUAUUAAAUAAUGAAAAUAAUCGUUUAAAUAUUCCUUUAAACAAUCCUUUUAGGUCUACAUUCCUUUACACUGACUUCUUGGUAUAUGUACAAGUAUUUUGGGUGGAAUAUACCAUUAAGCCUGAUGUUCAAGGGUUCUUCUGGGAAUAUACCAUUAAACCAACCUUUUAGGUAAAUGUUCCAGGAUGUUGGGUAGAAUAUACCAUCAGAUAAACCUUUUAGGUCUACACUGGAAGAUUUUAGAGUAGAAUAUUACUCCAUACCAUCCUUUAGGUCUACAUUUAAGGUGGAAUACUCCUUUACACCAAGAUUUUUUGGUCUACAUUGAAAGAUUUUAGGUGAAAUAUUCCUUUGAACGAACUUUUUAAGUUUAUGUUCAAGGAUGUUGGGUGGAAUAUACCAUCAGACCAACCUCCAAGGUCUACAGUAGUGAAUUUUAGGUGGAAUAUACCAUUAAACUCACCUUUUAGGUCUACAUUGGAGGAUUUUAGGUGGAAUUUUCUUCCAAACCGUCUUUUAGUCUACAUUUAAGGAUGUUUAGGAUGGUAUAUUCUUCCGAACCAACUUCUCAGGUCUACAUUUCAGGUGGAAUAUUCCUCCAUAUUAACUUUUUUGGUCUACAUUGAAGGAUUUUUUCUAAACCACCCUUUCAGGUCUAUAUUUGAGGUUUUAGGCAGAUUAUUCCUUUUAAUCAGCCCCUCAGGUCUCUUUGAGGAUUUUGGAUGGAAUACUCGGUUAAACCAACAUUUUAGGUGCAUGUCCAAGGAUUUUUGGUGGAAUGUUCCUUUAAGGUGGAUGUUUGAGGACCUUGUAGGUGGAAUACUUCCUGAAACCAACCUUUUAGGUUAACAUUCAAAGAUUUAAGGUGGAAUAUUCCUUUAAACCAACCUAAAUUUCAUGUUUUGAUCAUUAUCAAGUGAGAAUCCUCAAUCCAGACUCCUCAUAAUGACGUUUGAGAUUUAUGCUGCUGUUAUUUGUUUAGUCCAGACUAAAUGACAGAAAUCCACAACUGUAAUUUUAUUUCAGGACUCGGUUAUUAAAUGUCAAAACAAUCUAUGUGACUCUAAAAACUCAACAGCUUUACAAACUCUAAGAUUAAACUCUCCACAAGGACCCAAAAUAAGUUUGACUUCUACAUGAGAGCUUUAAUUAUUCUUCAUCUACUUCCUGAAAAGUUUGGUCGAUAAAAAAGACAAAAACUAAUAUUUUCAGCUGAACUAAAGACAGACUUUGUGAUUUUUCUGCUCACAUGUUGUGUUGUUGUAAACUUCCUCUUUCAAAUAAAUAUCCUCCUAACCCCCUGGAAA